rnacentral:rRNA from 1 species
CCUACGGGAGGCAGCAGUGAGGAAUAUUGGUCAAUGGGCGAGAGCCUGAACCAGCCAAGUCGCGUGAGGGAAGACGGUCCUAUGGAUUGUAAACCUCUUUUGUCGGGGAGCAAAAAGGCCUCGUGAGGCCACAAGUGAGAGUACGCGAAGAAAAAGCAUGGGCUAACUCCGGGCCAGCAGCCGCGGUAAUACGGAGGAUGCGAGCGUUAUCCGGAUUUCUUGGAUUUAACGGGUGCGGAGGCGGACUGGAAAGUCAGCGGUAAAAUCGAGAGUCUCAACCUCUUUCCGCCGUUGAAACUGUCGUUCUUGAGUGGGCGAGAAGUAGGCGGAAUGCGUGGUGUAGCGGUGAAAUGCAUAGAUAUCACGCAGAACUCCGAUUGCGAAGGCAGCAUACCGGCGCCCGACUGACGCUGAGGCACGAAAGCGUGGGUAUCGAACAGGAUUAGAUACCCCAGUAGUC